rnacentral:piRNA from 1 species
AUCAUGGUAGAAUCUCCUAGAGG